ensembl:processed_transcript A430010J10Rik RIKEN cDNA A430010J10 gene
UUGUUAGUCCUUCCCACUUUAGUAUGAUUGACAAAACAUGAGGCCUGAAAAGUCAGAUUGCCUGUGAUAGCAUUAACGUUUUAUCACUUACUUGUGACAUUUGGCAAGUUACCCAACCUCUCCAAGCCUGUUUUCUUAUUUCUUAGAUAGAAAAUAAUCUUUAAAAAGAUCUUUUCAAGAGGAAACUUUCCGGGCAGUUUUUUAAUCCCAGCACUUGGGAGGCGGAGGCAGGUGGAUUUCUGAGUUCGAGGCCAGCCUGGUCUACAGAGUGAGUUCCAGUACAGCCAGGGGCAACACAGCGGAAACCCUGUCUUGAGAAACCAAAAAAAAAAAAAAAAAAAAAAAGAGGAACCUCCUCCAGUCACUGAGCAAAGGUCUUUUGGGCUGGUGCAUGAAGCAGGAAGUUACCUGAGCAUAGGAUCCUGAGGAAAAGGGGAGGAUGGGGCACGGAAGCAAGCUUCAUUAUGCUUUGUUUCAGGCCCUCUUGAUGAAGGAGCGGUCUGUGUAAACAUUUUACACAGUUCCUGCUCAGCCCUACGGGGGCUCCACAGGGGCAGCUUUGUUCCCUAUUUGCAUUAACUCCCCAAGGUGAAAUCGUCCUGCCUUUGCUUUGCAACUUUUCCUUUUUAUUUAGUGUCAAAAGUUCUGGCGUCCUGGUGGAGUUAUAAAUCAUUGCCAAUGUCAAGGUGAAAGGGAUGCUGAACAGUCAUCAGUAGUUGAGAAGAAUCUCAAGCCAGCAUUUGGGAAGACUCAGCCAGACUUUGUGAAUGAUCUGAGUGACCUGAGAGGCUGGGGGAGGCAGACAGAAGAGAGGAAAGAGAAAGGCAAGCAUAUGCAGGUUUUCAGCAUGGGAACCCAGUGCUCCUGGUAACACAAUUCACUGUGGAAGGGGAUGGAAGAAGAGGAAGUGAUCUGAGAAGCAGGCAGAGUGUCACCAAAGGCACUCGUUGUUCUUAAGGCUGAGGAGGAGAGGCUGAGGAGUGUCUUCAUUCUCCAUACUAGUCCUGAAAAAGCCUUUUGCCAAGAACCCUGGAAUGUUCCCUGCUUGGACGAUCAAAAUUUCCUGCAGAGAUGCACAAACCUAAGAGGUCUCAGCUGUUUUCCUUGUCCUUUCCAAGGGUCAAGCCAGCAGUUCUUGAUCUCUCUUCAAACCAGACUCCAAGAAUGACAAAAGGGUGUAUGUCUCCAGCACGGGAUGGCUACGCUCACCUAAUCAGUAAUAGUUUCUAAGAAGCAUCCAGGCAUAGUGUAUAAGCCUUUAUUUAUUUAUUUUUUGUUUCGUUUUUAAAGGAAAGAGUGCACAGAAUUCAAUAGUGUAAGUGUAAAAUCCAGUGUGAAGCUCCAUCCAUGGCUUCAGAAUGGCUGUUCUAACUAUAUAGAAGUUCACUGAGGGACUGGCAAAAUGGCUCAGUGGGUAAGAGUACUGACUGCUCUUCCAAAGGUCCUGACUGCUCUUCCAAAGAUCCUGAGUUCAAAUCCCAGCAACCACAAGGUGGCUCACAACCACCCAUAAUGAGAUCUGAUGCCCUCUUCUGGUCCUUCUGAAGUCAGCUAGAGUGUACUUAUGUAUAAUAAUAAAUAAAUCUUUGGGCCUGGGCGAUCAGGGUUGACCGGAGCGAGCAGAGGUCCUAAAAAUGCAAUUUCCAACAACAUGAAGGCUCACAACCAUCUGUACAGCUACAGUGUACUCACAUGCAUAACAAAUCAAUCAAUAAACCUUUAAAAAAAUUAAAAUAAAAUAAAAUAAAAAGAAGUUCAUUGAGGUAUAUAGGCCUUGGAGCUGUUUCAUUUUGGUGUGUGUGUGUUGUUUGAUUGUAUUUUCAAGGUUCCUUUUAAAUAAUAAAGUUUAUAAGAGAAGAUGAGAGGCCUUUUAGUGAAAAAAGCAAACGUGUACACUGUGGGACUGGUUCCAGUAAGACUUGACUCAUGUACCUUGGUGUGUCAACACCACAGAUGUUUACCUAAAAGUGCGUUUUGUACCACCACUGUGGGCCCUUUCAAAUUUCAUAAGGCUACAGCAAGCCAGCACCUAGUGCACUGGCUUGAGACAAGAAAAAGUCAAAUUGAGUUUUCUUUCUCAGCAGAUUUCUCUGAGGGUGAAACCAAAGCCUCAAAGCCCAGCCUGAGAGCUAAGCAGAUGACCUGGGAGGGUAAGAGCACUGGCUGUGCCUGGAGAGGACACAAGUUUGGUUCCUAGCAUCCACAUAGGGCAACACGUAACUUCUAUAAAUCCAGCCACCCAGGAUCCGACAUCCUCUGCUGGAUUCCACUGGUACUUACACUCAUUCAUAGUCACACCACUUAAAAACUUUCGAAUGAAUCUUAAAAAUAGAAAACAAACAAACAAGAGUAAGAAACCAAGCCUGGCAUUUAGCCCAUGUUUCCAACCCUUUAGAUGGGUUAUCUCAAUUAACUUUCAGAAUUAAACCACAAAAAGGGUUAGGGGUAUAGCCCAUUUAAAGGCUUAGAACGUCCAAGGUUCUGAGGUCCCUUAUGUUUACAAUGAGGCAAAUCUGGGCGAGGAAUAGUCAGGUGUUCAAAGAGCAAACAAGUGGGAAAAGAUGGAAGCGUUUGGAGGAGACUCGAAGCUUUGUGUUUCCUCUCUGAAUCAUUUACUUCUCCACCUAGUUACUCUUUAUGUUUGCAAGGUCCUGUCUUUCCCAUUUGAAAUGCGGUUGGCCAACAGCUGGAGAUGCUGAACACUGGCAUGUACAAAACCCUAGGCUCCAUUCUCAAAAGGUUU